rnacentral:lncRNA from 1 species
AGGUGAGUGGAAUAACUCUUUAUGUUUUACAAUAAAUAAAUCAAUUCUUAGCAUGAUUCACGCAUCAUGAAUGCCAUGAGAUAUAUUAGGUUGUUUGCAUUAGAAUUCACGAAUAUGUUGCAUUGCAUAAUAUGUUGUUGAUGUGGAUGGAUAUUGGAUGAUCCAUAGCCCUCAAUCUAUGAUGUGAUGAUAUGAUAUGUACGGUACGGAAUGAAAGACCAGUGGGACCCAUUCUACGUUCGCUGGCACCAUGUAAGAGAAAGUCCAGGAAGACCCAUUCUACGUCCCUGGCAUCUUGGAAUGUUAUGUUAUGUUAUGUAAGAGAAAGACC